rnacentral:lncRNA from 1 species
AAGCCAUCUGAAUUCCACUCUUAUACAGUCACUCCUGCCUUUUCUCAUCAGAAGUCAUUUCAACUACAAAUUUCUUGGGAAAUUUUAAUGCCAUAAGUCCUCUAUGUUAGUUUUUUUGUCAACUUGACACUACCUAGAGUCAUUUGGGGAAAGGGACAUUCAAUUGAGAAAAUAUUCCAUAAGAUUCACCUAUAGUAAAUUUUUUGAUUAACAAUUGAUGUGAGAGGGCCCAGCCCACUACGGGGCAGUUUCACACUUAGGCUGAUGGUCCUGGGUUAUAUAAAAAAAAAAAAAACAGGCAGAACAAGCCACAGGGAACAAGCCAGUGAGCCACACUCCUCCAUGGUCUCUGAUUCAGUUUCUGCCUCCAGGUUCCUGCGUUGAGUCCCAGCCUUGGCUUCCCUUAGUGAUGGACUGUGAUCAGGACUUGUAAACCAAACAAACCUUUUCCUCUCUAAGUUGCUUUUGGCCAUGGCCACAGCAAUAGAUACCCCGAGUUAUCCUCACAACAUUUAAACCUUUAAGAUAGAUUUAUUUUCCAUAAUGAGGCAGGAGACUUAACAACCCUCUUGUUGGUUUGUCAGCAGAGCUGUAGCAAGCUAUUAUGCAGUUGAUGGUUUAAACAAGGCAGGCACUAACUUACAUUUCUGAAUGCCAGGAUGCUAAGUCAUGGUGUCUACAGGGCCAGUGUUUGCCUGCAAAGUGUGGGGAAAGCCAUCCUUGCCUUCACAGGCUUCUUGUCGGAGCCCCUGAUCUGCUUGCUAUUCCUUGGCUUUCGGCUACUUCCCAUACCUCUGCCUGGGUCAUCUUAAGCCAUUCUCCUUGCACUCAUCUCCUCUUAUGGCGUUGAGAGCUGUGGCCUAUGCCACUUCAGUCUGACUUUGUUUUGACUAAUUUGCAUCUACAGCCUUGUUUUCAAAUAAGAUAGUUUUCUGAAGUUCCUGGGAUGAGCACUUCUUUUUAAGAAGAGGGCACAAAUCAAUUCAGCAACAUUGCCUCACAGGGGUUUAUUUGGAGACCUGGGCCUCAGAAUGCUGGUGUUAAGAUGAUUGAAACCAUUAAGAAGUGGAACACACAUUGGUUGCCUUGCCUAUUGAAGAGAAUACGUUAAUGCUGUUAUAGCCUUAGUUAUUCUCAAGAAAUCAAGCUUAUAAUAGAGCAAGGGGGAUUCCUUCCAAUUCUCUGGCUUCCUGUCUCACUAUGUGGGAGCCUAAGGUGUGUUCCCACUUCAUUACUGUCAUGACUCCAGAGGUCAAACUGUCGAGGACUCUCCAUCUUGAACUUUCAGAUCCUAAAGUUCUGCUGAAUAAACCCUUUUGCUUUAUAAAGAC